GGGCGGGAGCGGCAGACUCCGCUGCCAGCUCUACUGGCGUCCUGGCAAGGGCAGCGCCGAGGGGCGCUCCCGGUCCAGCUCUCCCGGCUCGGGGGUUCCUUGCCUAGGCGCCAGAGCCCCGGGCUCCCUGCCUCGGCCGCUGUGGCCUGCAUAGAGCGGCACUGCGCGCGGAGGCGAUGGGAGAGAAGAAGGAGGGCGGUGGCGGGGGUGAUGCAGCGGCCGCUGAGGGUGGCGCAGGGGCCCCGGCCAGCCCGGGGCUGCAGCAGUGCAGACAGCUCCAGAAGCUCAUCGGCAUCUCCAUUGGCAGCCUGCGCGGGCUGGGCACCAAGUGCGCUGUGUCCAACGACCUCACCGAGCAGGAGAUACGGACCCUGGAGCAUUGUCCCAAUUCCUUCUUCUAAUGAAGAAAUACGCUUAGUUGAUGAUGCGUUUGGAAAAAUUUGUCACAUGGUCAGUGAUGGCUCUUGGGUGGUUCAUGUUCAGGCAGCAAAACUGUUGGGCUCUAUGGAGCAAGUCAGUUCUCAUUUCUUGGAGCAGACCCUUGACAAGAAGCUGAUGUCAGAUCUGAGGAGGAAACGUACUGCACAUGAGCGUGCCAAGGAACUUUACAGUUCAGGGGAGUUUUCCAGUGGCAGAAAGUGGGAAGAUGAUGCUCCCAAGGAAGAAGUAGAUACCGGGGCUGUGAACUUGAUUGAGUCAGGAGCUUGUGGAGCUUUUGUUCAUGGGUUGGAAGAUGAGAUGUAUGAGGUUCGUAUUGCUGCUGUGGAGGCCCUCUGCAUGUUGGCCCAGUCUUCACCCUCUUUUGCUGAGAAGUGCCUUGAUUUCCUAGUUGACAUGUUCAACGAUGAAAUUGAGGAAGUACGUCUGCAGUCCAUACAUACCAUGAGAAAAAUCUCUAACAACAUCACCCUCCGAGAAGAUCAGCUUGACACUGUCCUGGCUGUGCUAGAGGAUUCAUCCAGAGAUAUUCGAGAGGCUCUUCAUGAACUCUUAUGCUGUACUAAUGUUUCAACCAAAGAAGGGAUUCAUCUUGCAUUGGUGGAGCUGCUGAAAAAUUUAACCAAGUACCCUACUGAUAGGGACUCCAUAUGGAAGUGCUUGAAGUUUCUGGGAAGUCGGCAUCCAACCCUGGUGCUUCCCUUGGUGCCAGAGCUUCUGAGCACCCACCCAUUUUUUGACACAGCUGAACCAGACAUGGAUGAUCCAGCUUAUAUUGCAGUUUUGGUACUUAUUUUCAAUGCUGCUAAAACCUGUCCAACAAUGCGAGCAUUGUUCUCAGGCACUAUGCCUACCUCCGAGACAGUCUUUCUCAUCUUGUUCCUGCCUUGAGGUUGCCAGGUAGAAAACUGGUGUCAUCAGCUGUUUCUCCCAGCAUCAUACCUCAAGAGGAUCCUUCGCAGCAGCUCCUGCAGCAGAGCCUUGAAGGAGUGUGUAGUCUUCAGCACUUGGACCCUCAGGGAGCCCAGGAGCUGCUGGAAUUCACCAUCAGUUUUUAACUUUGCAGCUUAUGUAGUCCAGGAAGAUACAGUAGAUGAAGAUAGGAAUACCACGUGUGAGUGAGCCAAAUCCAGUAUAUGCCGCCUUGCAGGAAAAGUCGUGGAAUGUAGCUGCCCCUUCGUAUUUGAAGCAGAGUGAUUUGGCCUCAGCAGCAGCGAAACAGACUUUACCCCUUAUUUGGGAUGUGUGAAAAAUUUUUACAGGAAGUAGACUUUUUUCAGAGGUAUUUCAUCGCUGAUUUGCCCCACUUGCAGGACAGCUUUGUGGACAAACUCCUUGACCUUAUGCCCCGAUUCAUGACAUCCAAACCUGCAGAAGUGGUCAAAAUUCUACAGACCAUGCUGCGACAGAGUGCCUUUCUGCAUCUCCCACUUCCAGAGCAGAUCCACAAAGCCUCAGCCACCAUCAUUGAGCCAGCAGGCGAGUCAGACAACCCUUUGCGGUUUACCUCUGGGUUGGUGGUUGCCCUGGAUGUUGAUGCAACCCUGGAGCAUGUGCAGGAUCCUCAGAACACUGUUAAGGUCCAGAUGGAAUCUUACUCUGUCACCCAGGCUGGAGUGCAGUGGUGUGAUCUUGGCUAACUGCAAACUCCCACUCCUGGGCUCAAGCACUUUUCCCUGCCUCAGCCUCCUGAGUAGCUGGAAUUACAGGACACAUGAACCAUUAACAAGAAAAAUAUUUAAAUAAGAAACUCACCAAGCCAGGAGAAUAAUGAAUACCUGGAUGUGCCCCCUAGGAAUCUGGAUCUCUUCUCUUUUCCCCACCCUGCCCUCAACUCCCCUUACAUACAUACAGCCUGGAUCACAAGACCCAAGAAAACCAUUCCACCAGCUGCUGAGAGAAGAGCCACAAAAGGACCCAGAACUUCUCCAUGGCUACCUUAGAGCACCCUAAAAUGUGCUAACAGCCAUUGUUAGCAUUCAGGAGCUGUUUAUUCCCAUUUUCACACUACACUAAAGAAUUUUAAACAAUCACAAGAUAGACUGGCUGGAAGUUGGUGCUUGGAACAUCCCACGUCACCUAAAAGCACAGUGCUGCAAUCUCAGAAACCCCAGGCUCAGCCAGCAGAGAGAGGAGAAGCAGCUGGACAUUGGAGACUAUGAUUGGACAUUAGAGAGAAGGAGCUUGACUUCACAGAGAAAGCAUGAUGGAAUAAUUUCAGAGAAAAGUCUGGCCAGGGAUGACCAGACUUCAGGGGAAGAUAAUCUUGCUCAAUAUCCUUUUCUGCUCCCCUUCCUGCUGAGAGUCACUUUGAUUGGCAAUAAAAUAUCUCACAUUUACCAUCUUCAAUUUGUUCUUGCAACCUCAUUCCUCCUGGAUGCCAGACAAGAACUCAGGUGCCAUGAGUAUGGGUGCAAAAGGCUAUCACACUGUCCCUCCACUGAGCUGUUAACACUUAAGCUAUCCAUGGACAGCAAAGCUAAAAGGGCACUGUAAGAGUCCUUCUGGGGUUUCAGAAGUCAUGAGCAUCCCCCAGAUGCUGCCAUGGGGCCAGUACAGAGUUUGCUCCUGCCAGAGUCCAAAAAUGUCUCAGCUCCUGCACCCAGUCACCUGCAUGCUCCCCCUCCCACAAGUGGUGGAGCACAGUGGGCUGAGUGAGUGGAGUUUGCCCCUGCCAGCACCCGUGCACUCCAGUUCCCACCUGUGAAGGUGUCAGAGAGAUAUUCUGCUUAAAAAUCAGAGUGACUCCAUCUUAAAUAGCAGCUGGGUGAGAUAAGGCUGAGACCUACUGGGCUGCAUUCCCAGGAGGUUAGGCAUUCUAACCUUCUAUCAGGAUGAGAUAGAAGGCCAGCAUAAGAUAUAGGUCACGAAGACUCUGCUGAUAAAACAGGAUGUGGUUUAAAUAAAUGCCAGCCAGAACCCACCAAAACCAAGAUGGUGAUGCUCAUUCUCACUGCUCAUUAUAUGCCAGUAUAAUGCAUUUGCAUGCAAAAAGACUCUACCACCAGUGCCAUGACAGCUUACAGAUGCCAUGGCAAGAUCUGGAAGUUACCCUGUAGCCUCUAAAAUGGGGAAGAACCCUCAGUUCUGGAAAAUUUCUGCCCCUUUCCUGAAAAACUCAUGAAUAAUCUACCCUUUGUUUAGCAUAUAAUCAAGAAACAACUAUAAGUAUAGUCAAUCGAGCAGCCAAUCUCACCGCUCUGUCUAUGGAGUAGUCAUUCUUUUAUUUACAUCUCUAAUAAAAU
ensembl:lncRNA INTS4P1 integrator complex subunit 4 pseudogene 1